rnacentral:rRNA from 1 species
GACGAACCGAGCGAACGUUGUUCGGAAUCACUGGGCUUAAAGGGCGCGUAGGCGGGCUGUCAAGUCUGGGGUGAAAUCCCGCGGCUCAACCGUGGAACUGCCUCAGAUACUGACGGUCUCGAGGGGGAUAGGGGCGAGCGGAACUGUGAGUGGAGCGGUGAAAUGCGUUGAUAUUCACAGGAACUCCGGUGGCGAAGGCGGCUCGCUGGAUCUCUUCUGACGCUGAGGCGCGAAAGCGUGGGGAGCAAACAGG